AGGUGGAGGAGCCCAGAUGUUUUGGCGGAAGGACCACAGAGGAAGUCCUUGUCCUGCGGGCGGGCACCUGAGCCCGAGCUCCGCCUUGCGUCAUGGCUUCCUGACUGUCCCCAGCCUCCCAGAAGGCCACAGAGGAGCCAGAUGCUGAGCUGGGAGGCAGGAAGAAGACGGAGGAGCUGGGCGACAGCUACCACGUGAAUGCCCGGCACCUCCUCUACCCCAACUGCCCCGUCACGCGCUUCCCCGUGCCCAACGAGAAGGUGCCCUGGGAGAGAGGAAGGACGCGGCCACCAUGGACCCUGUGGGAGAGAACCCCAUGGGCCGCACGGGACUGCGUGGGCGCGGGAGCCUCAGCUGCUUUGGACCCAACCACACGCUGUACCCCAUGGUCACGCGGUGGAGGCGGAAUGAGGACGGAGUCAUCUGCAGGAAGAGCAUAAAGAAGAUGCUGGAAGUGCUGGUGGUGAAGCUCCCUCUCUCCGAGCACUGGGCCCUGCCUGGGGGCUCCCGGGAGCCAGGGGAGACGCUGCCUCGGAAGCUGAAGCGGAUCCUCCAGCAGGAGCACUGGCCGUCUUUUGAGAAUUUGCUAAAGCGCGGCAUGGAGGUGUACAAAGGCUACAUGGACGACCCGAGGAACACGGACAAUGCCUGGAUCGAGACGGUGGCCGUCAGCAUCCACUUCCAGGACCAGAACGACGUGGAGCUGAACAGGCUGAACUCUAACCUGCACGCCUGCGACUUAGGGGCCUCCAUCCGAUGGCAGGUGGUGGACAGGCGCGUCCCGCUAUAUGCGAACCACAAGACCCUCCUCCAGAAGGUGGUGGCUGAGUUCGGGGCUCACUACUGACUGUGCACUCAGGCCGGGCGGCUCCAGUCCAUAGACGGUCCCCCAGAAACCAGGGC
rnacentral:sRNA from 1 species